rnacentral:rRNA from 1 species
UGGGGGAUAUUGCACAAUGGGCGCAAGCCUGAUGCAGCGACGCCGCGUGAGCGAAGAAGUGCCUCGGCAUGUAAAGCUCUGUCAGCAGGGAAGAAAGUGACGGUACCUGAGGAAGAAGCCCCGGCUAAAUACGUGCCAGCAGCCGCGGUAAUACGUAUGGGGCAAGCGUUAUCCGGAUUUACUGGGUGUAAAGGGAGCGUAGGCGGCAAGGCAAGUCUGAUGUGAAAGCCCGGGGCUCAACCGCGGGACUGCAUUGGAAACUGCCGGGCUGGAGUGCCGGAGGGGCAAGCGGAAUUCCUAGUGUAGCGGUGAAAUGCGUAGAUAUUAGGAGGAACACCAGUGGCGAAGGCGGCUUGCUGGACGGUGACUGACGCUGAGGCUCGAAAGCGUGGGGAGCAAACAGG